rnacentral:lncRNA from 1 species
GGCAGCAGGGUUGGGCUCUCGCCGUGAGUCGACGAAGGGAGCGCGGGCGCGCGCCCGCGUCCGCGCACUGAGAGUCGCCUCGGCCGCUCGCUUUCUCGACUCCCGCCUCGCGCCUCGAUCCUGUUCCGCCUCCCUCGGCCCUCCUGCCCGCCCCCACUCGUCGGCCCUCAGGUGCUGCCCAGUUCAUGAGUGCUGCUGCUGUCCUGCCCAAGUACCCAGCUUGCAGAGUGCCAGAGUUAGAGUCCCAGGGGUGUUCUCCACAGCUGCAUGCUUGAUCCAGGCCUAUCAGAUAUAUUCCAUUGAAAGUCCUCAUUCUCAAAUUUAAAACAAAGACUUUUUGUGUACCUCAAUAGCAAUGCACACACAGUUGGCUUCACAAACAUAUUGUACAUUUCUUUUUUUCAUAUUUAUUCAACAAAUGUAUAUUGACUACCCACCGUGUGACAGGUGUUAUUUGUUGACGGAACCAGGCAUCAUCAGCAAACAAAACUGACAAAGCUUCCUGCCCUCUGUGGAAGGCAUCUGAGGAAGAGACUGGAUUUUGUAGCAACAUGUUAUUCUCAUUAUAAACUUUAUCAUUGGAAUACUAAAGCCAAAUCAUCCCCCAUCUCCUUGAUCAGGAUACCCACUUAAUCUAGGCAGCUACACAAUUGUGAGAGCCUUUGUUUUUUUCUGCUGAAACAUCCUUAAAAAGAUACCUCACAACCCAAGAUUUGGCUUUUCUUAAAUACGAUUUUUAAUUUUUUUCAUUUCUAUCUAGAGAUUUAAUUGGAAAUGGAAAAUCAUCAAUUUUCCAAUUAAAUGUCUGUUCCAAUCAACAUUAUACCUUUUAGGUUGUCAUUGUCAUUUUUAAGUUUAAGCAACUUUAAGGAUUUUGAAUCUGGCUGCCUGUAAAUUAAAGGUGAAAGUAAUCAUUGUGUUGGAUUGGAACAUUUUGUCAAUUGAGAGUGGUUUCCUUGUUCUUAGUGUAUGAAAAGUUUAUUUUUCUAAUGUAGAUUAAUAAAGGAGAUAAAGAAAAACAAAAUGAGUGAUUUAUGUGUGUGAGAAAAGAACCAUUUCCUCAAGGAUUAAAUAAAAUUCAUACCUUUUGUUUCUUUUGAAAAGUUUUUAAAAUAAAUUUUAAUGAAUGUGUCCUUUAAAUAUUCCUUUAAAAAUGUAUCCUAUUUUAAAAUGGACUCUCUGAGAGAAGGAAUUGAUACCUGUGUUUAAAAUCAAAAAUAGCAUGCAUAGAGACUGUUUUUCUAGUUGGUUGAAGCUUUUUUCCCUCUCCUUUACAUCAGUGAACCAGCAUCUUGCCCUUCAGACCCUACAGCACACUCUUGGGCUCAUGAAGUGUAUGACACAUCCUCCUUGGGGGAUCGGCCAUGUCCUCGCUCUCAUGACCACAUGAAUUCUUCUGUAUGUCUUUUCUCACAGCUGAGUACUCUCUUCCUGACCCCCUUGUGGAAUGGGGAAAGGAGGCUGUGACAUUGUGCUUGUGCAAACAAUAAUUGAGAGCUUUCCGAGUCUCCUGCAUCUUCAUAAAUGAUUUUUUGUUUUAUGCUGGGACAGUAGUUCUUUAAAUAGAAUAUUCUCCCAUGGAAAUCGCCCACAAUGCUGAGAGUACACCUUGCAAAAGGUAAGUCUAGAAUAUAGGGUGCCUCCUCAGCAUUGCCCAGAAGCUGAAGUUAGGACUCUCUAGAAUACCAAAAACAAAUUUAUAGCAGUUCAUUAAUGUAAGGAAUUAUGAAAACUGUGUGCCACCAUUAUCCAUAGAUGAAACAAGAGCCACCACGCAAGCACAGACACAAAGCCCUGAAGAUGAAGCCAUUGACAGGGCUCUCAUUUAUUCUGUAGAAACCCACUUGCCUGUUUUUGAACCAGUUUUCUUUGGAGCAUAUGUCUCACUGUGCAACCAAAGUGGUGUUUAUAUCCUAGUCACUUGGCAAAAAUUCUGUCAUUGCUUCAGGGAGAUCCAUUUUAGGCCUGAAGCAUGGAGCUGGUAAUAGAUGGGAUUUGGUACUUCUGAAGAAAAGACCCUACUGCAAAUUUAGAGAGUUAAUUUUUUCUUUUGUUCCCCAUAAUAUUGUUGCUAGAUAGAACUACCUUUUUUGACUAGAAGUUAAAUAUAGAGGCCUAAAUCAAUUAGGUAACUCCCACUCAUUCUAAAUGAGAACAUGUUUGUUUUUCUCCAACGAGAUGAGAAAUAUUUGAGGCGCUUCCUGAUAUCUCUAUCACCCACUGCAUUUUUUCACUUGAUGUAUAUUUCCCCAUGUAUUUGGGAUAAUUUUCAAAUAAUUGCCCUUUAGAAAUCUACUUGAUAUUAAAUGUAAAAAAAAAGCAAGAUGCAAAAUUAUUAUAGGAUGCAUUUACAGAAAUUACAAAAUUUCUAUAAACUAUUUAUGGAGGAAGACUUAUAGAGUAUAUGUCAACACAUUGCUUUAUUAUUGUCCUUGGUUAUGAGUAUGGUUUUUUUGAAACCUGCUUUGUACUUUGGGUGUUUUCUCACCAUUGGUACAAUUGAGGCAUUUUUCCCUCUUCUUCAACCUUGCAAAUCACACGUGAGGAUGCUCAUAGAAGUGCCUCUCAGACAGGCUGUUGUUUUGCUUUCACCAAUAAAUCAUUUAUAAUUAGAAGUAGAAAACUAUUCUUUCCAGUGCAAAUACAUCCCUUUCAAAAGCAGUUCUCUUUUUGUGAAUGAUGUCUAGUGUCUAAGAAACGAGGGUAACCUUUAUUAUAUGCAUUGCUCUAAUCGAAGCAUUGUUUUUUGCGGUGAACUCAAGGUUACAUGUUUAAGAAAAGCAUCGGGUUAAUUCCAUUAGGAAAAGUGUCUUAUUCAUAAACCUUUAGCCACUGGAAAAACACCAUUAGGAGGCCACACAAGUGUGUAUAGCUGGAUAGAAUUUGACAACUGGCAAAACAAAACAAUAGCCUACAAUUGCAGAGUGCUGUCUGUUUAAAAACCAACAUAUCUUUCACCAACAAAUACAUAUUCACCUCAACACGAGACUUUCAUGUGGUUAUUAAUAUCAAAUUUUUGAAUGUCCAAAUUUUGGAGUGUAGUCUAGCAGAGGUAAACUGAUUUGCCUAAGGUCCUUCAACUGUCAGAGGUAGAAUUAUUUUCUCUCUCCUGGCUCUAAAACCUGUCCAGAUUCUCCUGCAACACUGUCCUUCAAAAACACACUUCCGCUGACUCCAGUGCUGGUGAUGUCAUGCUUUAGCUAGUAGUUAGAGGUGACUUAACUUUAAAUAUGGAAUCUUUUUUUCCUAUUAAGCAAUGAGGUUUAGUUUGAAAAUUCUUAGAGAUGAUAAACCCCUCUCCUUUUUUUCUUCCUUCUCCUCUUUUGUCCUGAACAAUGUUCCAUAUAUAUUACUGCCAGAAACAGAUUCUUGACAUUCCUGUUAUGCUUUUCCACAUCUUGUAAUCAUUUCUACAGCUGUUAGCAUUGCCAACAAUUAUAUUUCCACUUUUAAAAAAUUGUUACAAAGAUGCAGAGAGAAAAGAGGAAAGCCAAGGAAUAAACUACAGGCAAUUAUGGGAUAUUUUUGUGAUGUGACAUUUUGGGAACUGAGGCAGCAUCACUGAUACUGCACUACUUUUUAAUAUCUAGAUUUUAAUCUUUUGUAUGAAGAUAAAAUUCACAUGCCUUAAACCUGACCACAACAUAAUAGGGCAUUUAUUUUUCUAAUUUUGAUACCAUCCACAUUUCUUAACUAUAAGAAGAAUGCUUAUGUUGUACCAGGUUAUAUGAUGUUGCCAAGAAGUAGAUGUGUACCAUUUACUAAUACAUCCUUUUGGAAAAUGCGUAUUAAUAACAUAUUAAGGAGUAAAUUGACGUUGUGCAAAGUGAGCCUGUGAGUUUAAAUGUAUGGAUUGUACACCUUGCUCUUCCUAAUUGCAGAUUUAACAGGAUUUGAUGACCUAAUGAGUUUAUUUCUGAAUGAUUUAUAUUUCUUUGUCAGUUCAAUGAUUUAGUAUUUUAAAUUUUUUUAAAUCACAUUUUAUUGAGAUAAUGCUAUUAGUGUUUCUUUCCCAUCACUUAACAAAGUUAAGUCACUCCUCUCCCACCCCACUUUUGUACCUACCAAUGUUUUUUUCACAGUUACAGGCUGAUUGGCUUGACGUGUCUUAGGAUACCACCCAAAGAGAGCUUCAUUUUAUAAAUACCAAGCUCAUUUUCCUAAAUAUUUUCAAAAAGAUAGAUUUAUCCUCAUAUAGUAAAUUCAGAUUAAUAAUUUUGGAAAGGGUCAUGUGACCAUGGUAUUACAUGGCUGUGGAAGACCCUCCAAGAUCUUGUUUUGGGAUAGAAGGACUCAGACAUCCAAACUUUUAAAUUAAUGAACUUAUUAAAUUCUAAAACUUUGUAACAGUGUUAAUUUGAGAAGUAUAAUAUUUUGCUUAAGGUCUGUUUUGCUUUGCAAAAUGCAUCUCCUUCAUUUUCAUAUUAUGUUGGAAGCUUAGCAUGAAAGAACGUGCCUCAGAGGAAACCAUAGGUAAGCAUACUUUAACAAAAGUUAGUGUCAUCAUGUUUGUGUCUUUGCCUGUGGUUUUUUAAAUGUAUAAUGUUUAACGUUGAUUUGGCUAUCAAAUUACAUUUUCUUUUGUUAAAAAAUUCUGUAAAUUAGAAAUGUACUGAAUCAUUUAUUUAGCAGACUGAAGGUGGGUAAUGUUGGCUGAACAGGUUUAAGCCACAGUAAUUUGAAAAUGUAAAUACAUAAAAUAAUGUCAUUUCUCUUCCACUCAAUGUUUCUUCACCAAAUAAAGUCCAGCCUGCUCUGAAUUUGUUGCCAGUAGGAACAAUGUUACAGUGAAUCAUGGUUUAAUAUACCUUGAAAAUGGCACAUCUGUUCUGUGAUAGCUUACCAAUUUUAGCCUCUUUAUAAAAUACGAAGAGUUUGUCAACCAGAAUAAUCUAGAACCUGGCAAUUCAAAUACCAUUCAAAGCAAAUGUUUUAUCUAAUAACUGGAACUAAAUGUUAGGCCUCAUGACAGUUCAAUAUUUACUAAAUAAGUUUAAUAACAGGGUAAGCCCUCAGUAUCCAGAGCAGAGACAAGCACACCAUAUUUACACAUACAAAUUCUGCCUUUAGCCAUCUGAAAGGGCCCCGAACUAUUGCAGCAAGCAAAGAGUCUUUGCAUUGUCCUAAAAUCCAUACAAUACUUUAUAUUUUACACAUUUUAAUAGCUAGUUUAACAAAUAACAAGUACCAUGCUUAAUUCUCUGCAUGCAUUAUUUCAACUAAUUAUUGGAAUAAUCUUAUAAAGUGGGUACUUUCGUCUCAGCUUACAGGUGAGAAAACAAAAGUUAAAUAGAUCGCCCAGGGCUCUGCUGGAACGUGUUAAGCAGGGAUUUCAGCCUGUCCAGUCAGACCCCAGAAGUUGUGUUCUUAACCAUUAGCAACACAUCAUCCCAGGCAGGCCCUACAUGAGCCUCAUAACCAAUUUUAUGCUGGAUAGUAUUAUCCCUAUUUCACAGAUGGCAAAACUGAGGUCCAGAGACUUUAAGUGACCUACCCAAAAUUACAGUCAUGAGCAGAGGCACUGGAAUGUAGGGCCUUGACACUCUACCUCACGUGGUCCUCUUUCCUGUUUUGGGUAGUUCUCCACUACCACUACUCAUUUCUGAUGCUGGAAAGGCUGUGUUUUAUACAUUUCUGUUUCUGGCUUGGAACGAAACACUCUGGGUCUCUGCUUGAUCAGUGUCCCCUCUAAACUGCACCUCACUACAGUAGGGAUGGCAUAAGAUACUUCUUUACACAGCAUCUUUUUGUUCCCACCUCACCCCCAGAGCUGUAAUAGGUAGAGCCAGCCAAAUGUCAAAGGGAUGAUUUGUCUUGUCACCACUAGUUUCCCUUUUCUCUGCCUUGUAUGUAACAGGAAUAUUCUUUAGUUCCUCCUUAUGUUCUAAAGCACCUCCCCAACCUAAAAAUAGAAGAGGAGUUGUGGGUCAUUUACACUUUAGUGUGAAUUUGCCCUUGUGACUUUGCCAAGGCUGUUGUGCCUAACCCUUUCAAUCUAACAGCAGAAUGAGAGUCUCUGGACUAUCCUGGCUCCUUCCCUGAGAAGAAUGAACUGGGAAUUGUUGGUCUAGACAUCAAGACUACCAGAGACCUAUUGCUCAGAGAUGUUUGGGCUGUACAAUUUCUGUAGAUAUGGCAUCUGGAGCAGCCUUUUCUAAGCAAUGGCAUUAUCAUUCCAGGCUCUCUCGCUCUUUCCAUCUCUCCACCAGGUGGACUCUUGCCCUCCACCCCUUCCAAUUUGUCAGUGAUUCAGAGAACAUUCUCCAUCCUUCCAAUGAUUACAUUCCUUCAUCUUGCUGGGGCGCCAAUUCAGUGAUGGAGCGGCUCUUGGGAGCAGCCUUGGCUUAUAGUGCAGCUCUCUGCUACCUUCAACAGGCUGGUAUUCGGGGUGCUUAGAUGUGACUGGUUGUACGCACGUGUGUGUAUGUGCAUGUGUGUACAGCAGUAAGAGCUUUCGAGGUAGAUACUUGAGGAAGCCUCAGACAUCUAGCCCCAUUACUGGGGCAAUGUCUUACUUGGGUUUUUCCAGAAACAGACCUGGAGACCAGGAUUCAAGUGCCAGUGGUAUAUUUGGGAUGUGAACCCUGCAAUGCUGGUAGGAGAGUGGAGAAGUGAGGCAAGGAAAGGAAGGCCGUCAAGGGGCGUGUUAGGAGGUCAUUCACCACCGCAGGUAGCCCGCUGGGGACCUCUGGGAGCAAGUGUGGCGCACAAGCCUCAGCAUUACUGCCCUGUGCCUUGAGGAGUAAGGGAUAAGGAUUUUCCCCACCAGUUCCCUGUAGUCCUUGGUGAGAGCUUCUGGGGUGGAGGUUAAGGUCUUUAGGUCAGAGAAAUUUUCUUUAGUUUCGGAAAAAUCUUUCAGGCCGAGGUCCAGACACUCACUGGAACACACUGAAGUGGUUAGGUCCAAGGGCUGUAGGCAGAGCUCCCAUAUCCAUCUGCAGAGGUGUUUCAGGUGGAAGGAGUGGAGACAGCCUUCUCUGCUCCACACUGUCUUCAGCAAGGGUUUCUGUAUCUGUGCAUUGAGGAUUAAAUUAUUCACAUGGUCAGAGAAGCCCAUCACCACUGAUAGUUAUUGUAGGUAUGGAAAACUAACGACUAAGAAGGGAGAAAAAUAUACCAAGCAGUUGGCUUGGCUGAACACAAGUAAAGACUCUUACAGUCACUGGUGUGAACUGCUUAUUAUCAAUGUCUGAUUACAGUGCUGCAUACUAAUGAUUAUGCAUGUCAUUAAAUGUGUCAGAUUAACUUUGUUAUAAAAUUUAUGACAACAUUAAAUUUUAUUCACAUGCUCAGCCUUCAUAAUUUAUUGCUUAUGUAGCAUGGUUUUAACUUCAGAAAAACCUCCAAGACAGUGUUGUCUUGAUGACUACACUGCUUAUCCGUGAGUCUAGUUUUCCUGUUCAUUUGAAAUGUUCACAUUACAUUCAGCUCUGUCUCAAGCACUGAGACAGAGCUGGAAUCAGUGCCCAGCGAUUCCACUUGCCGAGUGAUUGA